rnacentral:misc_RNA from 1 species
GACUUCGUCACUUGACAUAGCCUGCACCAAGGUUUCCAUAAAAGAAGAAAAGAAGUUGAAUUUUGCCAUAGAAGGCUACAAAUGAAUAAUUCAUGUCAUUGUUGUGAGAAAUUAUUUCAUGCAACCAUUGUAUAUACAAAGAAUAGAUUUUGAUCGUUAACCAUGAUGAAACCGACACGAAACCCGCCAUAAUCAAUAGCGAUAACAAAGUUAUUGUAUAUACAAUGGUUGUGUUCUUGUUGGAAGUGGGUCAAGAAGUAUGACUUCAUUGUCUGCGUACAAAUUCAACAUGAAUUCCUAAUCGAUGAUGAAAUUUUUUUCCAUUUCCUCUUAUUCUUAUACAUUAAUUAACUAAAUCAUUUAGAAAGCUUUUCAUUGUCAUCAUCAUAAUAUACUGAUAGGCUGAGUUCAGCGUGCGAGUAAAAUGCUUCGUUUCUAUUGAACUCCACAAAAACAUAUACUUAUCCAGGAAAUAUGAACUACAUGCCUGUGUUAGAAAUCAUUUAAAAAUUAUAACAAG